UAUCGUCAGCAAAUCGAAGGUGUGUGA
rnacentral:piRNA from 1 species